UUUUCGAUCAAAUAGAUGCUCCAUUUCAUGCGUAAAGGCUUGGAGUGUAAAAUCUGGCACACUUCCUCCAACAAUUCUUACAGGACGGAAUCCAACUCCCUUGUCUGAAUUUUUUUCCAGACUUCGUGACAUUUUUUUUAAGAACUCACAACAAAGAAUCUCACUAUCCACUCACAAAGAAAUCUCACACACUUGGCUUUUUUUUCCCUCGAAUAAACUCACUACUCU
rnacentral:lncRNA from 1 species